GCAACGACCUUGACUGGAACUGACACCAUUCUGCCCGUCAGAAUGGCCGUGUUGAGGACCUCUGUGUCCUGCAUGCACAGACAAAGGGAGGAUGGGUGUUAGAGAAGCACAAAACCACGAGAAUGAACCAACCCUGCCUCUGAUGGGGACAGGCGCAGAGGUUUGGCUGCAGUGGCAAUGAAAUCUGUGAUGCAAUGAGGCACAAAGGCCUGUCUGCAGCUCAGGAGAACCACAGCACUACUCGGAUUGAUGGAGAAUAAUGGGCAUUGACCACAAGCUAAGGACAGCUGGAGAAGACCAAUAAAUACUUGCAACUAAGAUGUAUUAUUAAUCAAUAUUCAGAAACUUCUACAAAAAGCGCCCUGAAUUAAAUGAGCUGAAGUACUAAUAACACUAGUGCCAGCUAACUAAUAGUCUACCAGAGGUUUAUGGGCAGCCAUGUUCCAGAAAAGCAUUGAAGCACACACUCGAGUCCAUUUCUGAUCAGAACAGCACUAAGAGGACGUGCUCAACUCGACACUUAGACUUCAAUGUGAUUUAAGAGUCAUCCUGAAAAAAAGAUGCUUUUCUGAAUAAUACCUCAUGAAAUAAAUAUACCCUCUUUGUUCUGUUCUC